UCCUCGCUCAAAGGAUCGCAUUCAAAGCUUACACACAGAGAAUUCCUUAAUUCUCUACUCUUCUCAUCUGAGAAGAGCCCGCUUUGGGAGAAAGUCCCCGGACACCCUGUCCUUUCUUUUUUACAAAGUCGGUCAGGCAUUGCGGAAACGCGCCGCCAUAAAAGCAAUUUGAUAGCGGCUUACUGCCCUAUUCCCUCCCGGUGCCGAGUCUGUGCCCGACGCCCUUUGGGGUGGAUACAAUGGUGGUGUGGACUGGUCUCGGAGAGGGGUUUAUUGGGUUGCCUUUCGUCGUGUUUGGAUAGUCAUGCGAUUGCUCGGUUCUAUGUUGGAACUGGGUAACUCAAUGGGGCUCAUUCUUGAGGCGAGG
rnacentral:RNase_MRP_RNA from 2 species